CGGGACUGACGGGGCUCGAACCCGCAGCUC
rnacentral:tRNA from 1 species